CUGGCGCAUUACAACAAGCGCUCGACCAUCACCUCCAGGGAGAUCCAGACGGCCGUGCGCCUGCUGCUGCCCGGGGAGCUGGCCAAGCAUGCCGUGUCGGAGGGCACCAAGGCCGUCACCAAGUACACCAGCGCUAAAUAGUGGAGUGGCUGAAACUUCUCAGCAGGCACACCCACACUAGUGACCUGAGGAGAGAAACCUUAACCCCACAAUGGCUGCAUCUUCUCUGAGGAUGAGGCUAAUGCUCAUAUUUUAAAUGAAGGGCAGUGUGUGGAUUUCUCCACGAAGGUACCCAAAAACAGCCCUGCCAGAGCUGCUGUGGGGUGGCUAAACUGCUAUUCCUUUUCUAGGGUGGGGUCCCCACUCUUUGUAAGGAAGGAUAUUGGGGUCCUAACACAGGGAACCAUCUUGCCCAUGAGGCCUCCUUGUCAUUGAGCACCCCAUCUGUGUUUCCUGUUCCAAUUUACAACUAUUUUUUGGUCAUAAUAUAUAUCAAGAUCUGAGAUGCUAUGUUUUACUUCUUCAUUGGCUUACUAUUAUUACUGUGCAACCCUCCACACAAAUUUUUUUGGCACUGGAUUUGAGGGUUGUGGGGUAGGUUAUAUUUUGAUCACUUGUAUUUCUCAGCUUCUAAAACAGUGCUCAGGAAAGCACAUCUAUGAGUAAAGUCAUACUCCUCUGUUCCGCUGUUGCCAACUGGAAGAUACCGAGGGAACUUUCUUUACUUUCCUUAGGGGAUGAUCCAGAAGAUGAAAAACAACUUGUCAUUCUGUGUUCCUUACAGCUGAAUUCCCAGUUUUUGCUCCUGGGGAAAAAAAAAAAAAAAAGCUAAUUCAGUUUUGUUAAAAAUUCUUUUUACCUGAAUUUUUUUUUGUUAAUGAUUAU